GACGAACGCUGGCGGCGUGCUUAACACAUGCAAGUCGAACGAAGAGCGAUGGAAGCUUGCUUCUAUCAAUCUUAGUGGCGAACGGGUGAGUAACGCGUAAUCAACCUGCCCUUCAGAGGGGGACAACAGUUGGAAACGACUGCUAAUACCGCAUACUAUCUAAUCUCGGCAUCGAGGAUAGAUGAAAGGUGGCCUCUACAUGUAAGCUAUCACUGAAGGAGGGGAUUGCGUCUGAUUAGCUAGUUGGGGGGGUAACGGCCCACCAAGGCGAUGAUCAGUAGCCGGUCUGAGAGGAUGAACGGCCACAUUGGGACUGAGACACGGCCCAGACUCCUACGGGAGGCAGCAGUGGGGAAUCUUCCGCAAUGGACGAAAGUCUGACGGAGCAACGCCGCGUGAGCGAUGACGGCCUUCGGGUUGUAAAGCUCUGUUAAUCGGGACGAAAGGCCUUCUUGCGAAUAGUGAGAAGGAUUGACGGUACCGGAAGAGAAAGCCACGGCUAACUACGUG
rnacentral:rRNA from 1 species